AGGAGGGAUGUGAUCUCUGUUCUCACAAAAUUCUCACUGCAGAAAGACAUGUUAUAGUCACGAAAAUAUAACAAAAAUAUAAAAGAUAUAUACACAAACUGCAAUGGGACAAUGGCUAAGCUUAAAAAUGGAUAAGUCCUAUUGUCAAACUAUUUUAAGAUUCCCAAAAAGGAGCAGCUAACUUACGCAGACAUUUCAAGUUGAACUGGGUCCACAUACAUUGCACAAUAUUAGUCAAUACCUAUCAGAGCCAAAUAAAUUUCCUUCCCAAACAGGUGAUGAUUUUAAAAAUUUGAUGUAAAUUCAUUUGAAAGGCCAAGUUUUAUCAUAUUGCAGACACAGCACUAAUAUGGAUUUGGCUCCUAGUAUUGGGUGGAUUUCUGAAGUGGCAGGAUUGUGUCCUUUUUCUGCUACAUUUCCUACAGAGUGACUUCACAGUACUGAAAGUGGCUGAACAUCAAUAAAGGUUUGCUGAAUGUUUGUCUUAUGUUUUAGCAAUGGAACAUUUGGUUUUAAGAAACAAAUCCACUGAAACUCGUUUAAAUACAAAAGGAAACAGGCUGAAAAGGAACAAGGCUAUUUCAUGGAACCCAAGGGCAGGAAAUACAGCUGGACAGUAAAAGGGAUCAGAACCGGAAGUAGGAAAACAUUCAGAUCAAGGUCUUCUACUCCAAGCACACAAUUGAGACUGAAAGUCUGCAGCCCAAAUGGUUCAGCCAAGAACAUGAAUCAGCCGCCCCCAGGCCUGGGGUCCCCAUCCUUGUCUACUCAGCUGAUGUCAAAAGACCAACUCAAAUUCUAUGAAUAUGUCUACCUCUAGAGGGGCUUCAGAGCAAGGAGACACUCCAAAAGAUGCUGCAUCCACUGUGCAUGUCAUCCUCAACAUCCCAGCUGAACAGAGCUCUAAAGCUGAACUCUCUUGCUUAUGGCAGAAAAACAAUACAUAUGAAGUAUUCUGGAAGCUGCAUUCCAGACUGACAAGGGAAUGUGAAUGGGCUUGUGGACCAAUGAAGUGACUGGUUAGUGCAUAAGCAAAGGAACGACAAGACAUAAGAUCACCAAAGCAGAAACUGAGUCAAGAAGGAGGAAAGAUGAAUAUAUUUAGUGGUCUCAAGUUCAAAGCAGAAAGAAAGAACAUUCUAAAAAGAAGAAUCAAAAACAAAGAGACAGUAAAUUAAAAAGGAGGCAAGUGAUAUAGUGUAGGAAUAUGACAAUGUGACUAAAUAGAAGCAUUUACAGUUAGCAAAGUCAAAGGAAAAACAGAUCGAUGGGGAAGAAUUUGGACCAGCUCUUCUAUAAGGGGAAGUGCAGAGAAGGCAGACAGUGCAAGGAAGACAUCAUCGUGCACACAGCCACUAACUCCAGCCAAUUUUCUCCUGCACUACAACUAAGUGAUGUAAACAAUAUAGAGUAUAUCUGGAAAACUAUAUCAGACACUGGGAGUGGUCAACGUCUCUAGAGAAGAGAGGGGGUGACUGGGGGGAACCAGGACCCAGUAGUGGUAGGGAGAGAAAGAACACUUUUUUACUACAUGUUUUUUCUACAUGUAAUACUACAUCAAACAAUUUGUUAUAAUUUGUACACAUAUAUUUAUAAAUAUUAAUUUUAUCAGUGAUGAGAUAACUUUAUUAUUUUUCCCAAUCAUAAUCCACAUUUUAUAAUUAAUAUUUAACACGGAUAUACAAAAUUAAAUUAAAAACUCAAAUUCUACUUCCGAUUCAUUGAUGGGUUAAAGUGAAUUAAAUUCCAAAGGAAAGGGCUUCCCUCGUGGCGCAGCGGUUAGGAGUCCACCUGCCAAUGCAGGGGACAUAGGUUCGAGC